UUUAGGCCUAGGAUUCGUUUUCUGUUUACUAGAGUUUAAGUAGUAGGUAGCUCGUUAAUUCUCUUGGAAGUUUAUGCAUUCAGUUGGAUAUAAACCCCAGAAAAUCGUGCCGCAAUCGCUCUCGAGUUCUCUCGUUUUCUGAAACUUCUCGCUGUUCUGUCUUGUGUCCAUUUCUUCAGCUUCGUCAGAAGCUUGUGCUUGUCAUUUGCCGUGCCGGACAGCUGCAGUCUGUGAGCAAGCUUUUUCUCGGUGCACACUUCUCCAACUACUAAACGGAAGCUGCCACACGGGGGAAAAGUUCUGUUCUUCGUUUGUGCUAUAUAUGUACGAGUGUAUUGCCCAUGCAUUACAAUGGAUUUUUAAUAAAAUAUAUCAUUAGCAUGUUAUGAAAAUAAAGUUUAAAAAGUGGUUUGAUAUAUAGAUUUAAGUUGUUUUUCAUUUUAACAAAUAGAAGGGAGUUGGUUGGUGAGAUAGGUGAUAGAUUCACCAUCACACAUCACUAGCACUAUUUUUUUUAUAAGAGUAUACAUAUGCACACUAUAUUUUAUUUCUGCGUUAUGUGUGUAUUAGUCGUCUGUUCACAUAAGUACACUUGAUAUGCGCCAACUUUUGAGGUCUGUAGAAGUCAACUGCAUGUAGUCUCAACACGUAGCCAAAAUUCAGAGUUGACUAUCAGCUGUAUUGGAUACUUCAUAUUUUCAACGCAUAUAUG